rnacentral:rRNA from 1 species
UGGGGAAUCUUCCGCAAUGGACGAAAGUCUGACGGAGCAACGCCGCGUGUAUGAUGAAGGUCUUCGGAUUGUAAAGUACUGUCAUUGGGGAAGAACGGUUUUCUUGAAAAGAUUGAGAAGACAUGACGGUACCCAAGGAGGAAGCCCCGGCUAACUACGUGCCAGCAGCCGCGGUAAUACGUAGGGGGCAAGCUUGUCCGGAAUUAUUGGGCGUAAAGGGCGCGUAGGCGGGCCUUUAAGUCCGGUGUGAAAGAUCAGGGCUCAACCCUGAGAGUGCAUCGGAAACUGGAGGCCUUGAGGACAGGAGAGGAAAGUGGAAUUCCACGUGUAGCGGUGAAAUGCGUAGAUAUGUGGAAGAACACCAGUGGCGAAGGCGACUUUCUGGACUGUAACUGACGCUGAGGCGCGAAAAGCGUGGGGAGCAAAACAGGAUUAGAUACCCUGGUAGUCCACGCCGUAAACGAUGAGUGCUAGGUGUAGAGGGUAUCGACCCCUUCUGUGCCGCAGUUAACACAAUAAGCACUCCCGCCUGGGGAGUACGGCCGCAAGGUUGAAACUCAAAGGAAUUGACGGGGGUCAUAGCUGUUUUCCGU